rnacentral:rRNA from 1 species
AGUGAACGCUGGCGGUAGGCCUAACACAUGCAAGUCGGACGGCAGCACAGUAAGAGCUUGCUCUUACGGGUGGCGAGUGGCGGACGGGUGAGGAAUACAUCGGAAUCUACUUUUUCGUGGGGGAUAACGUAGGGAAACUUACGCUAAUACCGCAUACGACUUACGGGUGAAAGCAGGGGAUCUUCGGACCUUGCGCGAUUGAAUGAGCAGAUGUCGGAUUAGCUAGUUGGCGGGGUAAAGGCCCACCAAGGCGACGAUCCGUAGCUGGUCUGAGAGGAUGAUCAGCCACACUGGAACUGAGACACGGUCCAGACUCCUACGGGAGGCAGCAGUGGGGAAUAUUGGACAAUGGGCACAAUCCUGAUCCAGCCAUACCGCGUGGGUGAAGAAGGCCUUCGGGUUGUAAAGCCCUUUUGUUGGGAAAGAAAAGCAGCAGGUUAAUACCCCGCUGUUCUGACGGUACCCAAAGAAUAAGCACCGGCUAACUUCGUG